GUGAACGGAGCCGUUUGUAACUCGAAACGUUCACAAGUGGAGAUGUUCGUAAGUCGAGGUACUACUGUACACUUUCUUGCGCAGGCAUGCGCUGCUGCUCAUAGGGUCUCUGAGUGCUUUAGUGUAGCAAAGUUUACUCUCAGUUUCAGUCAAAUUAUGGUACAGUGCUUUUUGAAGCCUUUGCGGAGCAAGAAUCAAGGUGCACUUAAAAGAACUGCAGUGAGGAAAUCUCUUUUGCUGGGAGGUAGGAUAUUAAAUGAAAGAAAACUGUGGUUCUCCUGACACUCCAGGGCAUUUACCUUGGCUUUUCUUGCAUUAAAUGGCUGCAGGAAAUCCAGAAUAGAGAAUAAUGAAUGAAUUCAGACCUCACCCCCUUUGUCCAUCAUCCCUUUAUGUCAAAACAACAUGCACUUCAUGUUGUCUGUCCAGUCAGCCCGCUGCACCUCCCUUGAAGCUUAGGUCAGGUUUUUCAGUACUAACAUGAAUGUACGUUGUAGAGUUGUUGCAGUUAUUCUCGAAGAGGCAUGGGUGGUUUUAUUUUCUUCCAAGCCACUGACAUUUCUAGAGGUUCUACUGGGCAUCCUCACGCCCAAAGCACUUCCUAAUUUGACCCCCCCAUCCACCCUUUUCAGAUGUUUACAUCAGGACACACGAUCCCAUUUAUUUCCUGCCUGCCUCAACCCUCCAGAAGGGUGGCUCAGAAAGCCCAGCCUUCUCUGUUAUGUUCAGCAUUCUCAUCCACAGUGCAAGCAAAACCAGUUUAAAACUUGUUGGAGAAGCACUUUUCUAAACAUGAGUUUAAAGCGUUAGUUUUCAUGUGGAGAGUAGUUGGUCACUUAACAAAAAAACAAAAAAACCUGAACAUAUUCUACUUUGGAAGCUGUUCUUCAUAAAGUGCCGAUAAAACAUUGUAAUACAAUAUCAACUUACCUGGCAUUGAGGGCCACACUUCUUACAAUACUGUAGCUGCUAUAUUUAUUUAAAUGGAAGGUGAACCAUUACUGCACUAGGGGCAGGUCAUCAGGCUUCUUUUUAAGAUGUGGUAUUCCGGCUUCGGUUUUGUUUCAAAAGCAAUUUAAUCGUGUGAUGUAACAACGGGUGCUGUUUUAACCAAGGUUAUGAAAUAGCCAGGGACUCUUCCUUUGUGUGUGUUUUUUUAAAAAAAAGAGAUAUAUUUUGAUGUUUGCAGUGGAUAAAGGGGAUGGGGGUAAAAUAAAUGGUACCUCAUCUGUGGUGGCAGUUUCCAGUAUAUAUUUCACAGGAGUAUAUGGACUUUUAUUUUUGUACAUGCUGUUAGUUUAAAAAAAAGAAAGAAAGAAUACGCUUUCUUGAAUUUAAUGUUCUUUCCUGGCCUUCUCUGUCCAGCUUGGCCUUGAUUUUAGUACGCGUGUUCCUGCCUAAAACGGUGACUCUUUUUAUCCAACUCUUCCCGGAUCCCACUUGUGCUUGCAAGUGCCACUGUCUAUUUCCCCCAAGCUUGGCUUACUCAAGAGGUGCUUGGCGUUGCCGAGAGUCCGGUUCCGGAAGCGAUACAUCUCUGGUGCAUUGUGGUCUGCCAAAGGGGGAGAGCGGCUUUCCCCUGGUGCCAUAGGGCUUGCGAUCUGUCAGGCACAACCUCCAUUCCUUUCAACAAGACUUGUGUGAGCAACGAUCCUUCCUACUCUUUGAUGGCUAGCAAUAGUAAAUUCAUGGCAACCUUAUGGGCCAGGCUUGUGGAGGCGCUCGGUGGCAGCAGCUCUGUUAAGAGGUGCACUUUUAAAGGUUCCAGUCCUCAAGGUUCAUCCUGUGGGAGCUUUUCAGGUUGUGUUUUUAUGUCUUUUCAAACCAUGGUGUUUCAAUUCAGAAGAAGGAGGAGAACCAAACCUCCAGGAGUGUUUAAGUGAAUCGUGUUCAAAACCCACAGCGAGGCUCUUUCUCAAAGCUUUAGUUUGGGAGGCUUCUCCCAGUAGCACCCCCCAAACGGCAAGCUGCAUUCCCAGCAGUGUCCGUCUGCUCCAAGACACCCUGAAUUUAGGAAUCAAGUCGUGGGUAAACAUAUAACUCUCAUGUUCUGCUUUUUGAGGGCAGCAACACUCUGAAAGCUUACAAUAUUUUCUACUUUAAAAAAAAGAGCUUUACUGAAUGAAGUUAAAAAAAAAAAGGAACAGAGAGGAAAUUACUUUUCCAAGCCUUUGCAAAACUGAUCCAAAAAUCCACCUAGCACAUUACCCAGACUAGCUUCCUUUCCAGGCGUGUUACUGGAAAAUUGGCAUUAAAAGGGGAUGGUUUACUUGUGUCCCUGAGUGAUGGAGACAGAUCUACAUUUUUCUCAUUUUUCACUGAAGUCCAGUUCACACCUGCAUGCUGAUUGUUUGAUUGAUGCAACAUCAGGCCAUGGUUUGCAUGUGUUAUCAGUCGUUGUCACAAGUUAAACACCAGGCAGAUUUUUCUCUGCUGUUUCUAGUACAACAAAGUCUCAGAAAAGCAGUUUGCAGGUUGUCCUGCAAUGGAGACGAAACAUAGGUUGAGCCCUUAAAACCUGUUUGUAAAAUUGAACAAUUCACUCCAGGCUUAUUUGCAAGCAUUCUGGUACUUAUUUGUAAAUAAUUACAUUUGCAGGGAUUUUGAUUCUGCUGUCUUGAGAGAUGAGAUGGUUAAGAGACAGAAAACUCCAUUGUGGUUUCUGUGCAGAUUGUCUUUAAUUUUAAUUUUGUUGCCUCUAAUGGUUUAAAUAGCCUUUAGGGUCUGGGUUUUGGAUGAGAAAGCAGACCGAGGGAUGGGAAAAGCUACUCUUUGAAAAUGGAGCUGAAUAUCAGGAGGUAAGAGAUGAUUAAUGGAGAAUGCCAGUUUCAGGUAUCUCAGCCCCAUUUCCAGAUUAGAAUCAUAUUUGAAUGACCUCUGGCAGGUACAUAGAUAUAAAGAGACGCUUAAAAGCAAAGCAGUUCUGCCAUCUAAAUAUUAGGAGAUUUAUUUAUGAAAAAGCAAAACAGUCUUCAAAGUGCCUUUUUAGAAGAUGGUGCUGUAGAUUUUUGUUUCUUCCCAAAGUUGUAUGAGGCUGGGGGAAUAUAGUGAAAUGUUUAAUGAAAAAAGAAAUGUCACGUUCUUGAUAGUACCACUAACAGGGUUGUGUGCUACCUAAUGUCCUCCCCCCCUUCUCCCCCAGGACCAAAAUAACCGUGGACCAUAUUGUAUUUGGGAACAGUGACAGUUACAGAUGCAUGAUUAAAAUCCAUGGUGUGGAUUUUAGAUACUUUCAAGUAAUGAAAUUUAGGUAUGCAUCAUGCACUCCUUAAUUCUUGUGUACCUUGACACUGUUCAAAUUCUGAAAAUCCCACCUAUUAACCUUAUUUUAAAAUAUACAACCUUCUAGUCCUCAUGGUUACACUAGCAGAAGUUUUGAAAUGAUUAACAGACACUGUAUGUACCUCAGUAUCUGUGUAAUGCUGCAGAAGUAAUAACAGCAAAGUUGAGAUGAUCAACUCUGUAAAACUACUUGCACCCGCCUGCAAAAAAUAAACAAAAAUCAUAGUCUUAAUCA